rnacentral:lncRNA from 1 species
UCUUUGCCAAUUUGAAUCCCUUUUAAUGUCUUUUUGUUGUCUGAUUGCUGAGGCUAGGACUUCCAGUACUAGGGUUGAAUAGCAGUGGUGAGAGUGGACAUCCCUGUCUUGUUCCUGAUCUGGGGAAAGGCUCCCAGUGCUUCCCCAUUGAGAAUGAUAUUGCUGUGGGCUUUUCAUAGAUGGUUUUUUAAAAAUGUCGAGGAAGGGUUCCCUCUAUCCCUACACUCUGAAGAGUUUUGAUCAGGAAUGGAUGCUGUAUUUUGUCAAAUGCUUUCUCUGCAUCCAAUGAGAGGAUCAUAUGGUCUUGGUUUUUCUCUUGCUGAUAUGAUGAAUCACAUUGAUGUUUUCGGGUGUUGAACCACCUUGUGUCCCAGGGAUAAAUCCUACUUGGCAUGGUGAAUAAUUUUCUUAAUGUACGGGUUGGAUCCUAUUGGCCAGUAUCUUGUUGAGAAUUUUGCAUCCAUUUUUCAUCAGGGAUAUUGGCUGUAUUCUCCUUUUGGCGGGGUCUUUGCCCUGGCUUUGGAAUUAAGGUGAUGCUGGCUUCAUAGAACGAAUUUGGGAAAUACUCCAUCUCUUUCAAAUCUUUCCAAACAGCUUUAGGAGAAUAGGUAUGAUUUCUUCUUUUAAACUUUUUGAUAAAAUUCCCUGGGAAGCCAUCUGGCCCUGGACUUUUGGGGUCUUGGGGGGGUUUUUGAUGACUGCUUCAAUUUUCCCUCCCGGUUAUUGGCUGUUCAGGUUUUCUAUUCUUCCUGUUCCAGUUUUGGUAGUUUUUUUGGCUUUCCAGGAUGCGUCCAUUUCUUCUAGAUUUCCUAAUUUAUUGGCGUAUAGCUGUUCAUAAUUGUUUUUAAAAUCGUUUGUAUUCCUUUGGGGUUUGGGAGUGAUCUCUCCUUCUCAUUCAUGAUUUUAUUAAUUUGAGUCUUCUCUCUCUUCUUUUUAAUAAGGCUGGCUAAUGGUUAUCUAUCUUAUUAAAUUUUUUCAAAGAACCAACUCCUGGAUCUAUUUGCUGUUUUUUCUCUAGCUCCUUUAUGUGUAAGGUUAGCUUUUGUAUUUGAGUUCUUCCAGUUUUUUAAUGGAUGCUUGUAUUGCGAUGUAUUUCCCCCCUUAGGACUGCUUUUGGGUCAUCCCAAAGAUUUUGAACGGUUGUAUCUUCAUUCUCAUUUUGUUUCCAUGAAUCUUUUAAUUCUUCCUUAAUUUCCUGGUUGACCCUUUAUCUUUAGCGGGUGGUCCUUAACCUCCAUGUGUUUUGAGGUCCUUCCAAACUUUUUGUUGUGUUUUAGUUCUAAUUUAAAGGCAUUAUGGUUCCGAGAAUAUCCCAGGGGACAAUCCCAUCUUUUGGUAUCGGUUCAGACCCGAUUUGUGACCCAAUAUGUGGUCUAUUCGGAGAAAGUUCCAUGUGCGCUUGAGAAGAAUGUGUAUUCAGUUGAGUUUGGAUGUAAAGUUCUGUAGAUAUCUGUGAAACCCAUCUGGUCCAGUGUAUCAUUUAAGCUCUCGUUUCUUUGGAGAUGUUGUGCUUAGAAGACCUAUCGAGUAUAGAAAGAGCUAGUUUGAAGUCACCAAGUAAAAAGUGUAUUAUUAUCUAAGUAUUUCUUCACUUUGGUUAAAAAUUUGAUUUAUAUUUGGCAGCUCCCACAUUCGGAGCAUAUAUAUUGAGGAUUGUUAAGUCCUCUUGUUGAAUAGAUCCUUUUUAAAUUGAUUUUAGUGUCCCUCUUCAUCUCUCACUACAGUCUUUGGGGGAAAUUUUUGUUUAUCUGAUAUAAGGAUGGCUACCCCUGCUUUCUUUUGAGGACCAUUCGAAUGGUAAAUGGUUCUCCAACCUUUUAUUUUCAGGCUGUAGUGUCUUCUGUCUAAAAUGAGUCUCUUGUAGACAGCAAAUAGAGGGUCCUGCUUUUUUAUCCAGUCUGAAACCCUGCGCCUUUUGAUGGGUCAUUAAGCCCGUUCACAUUCAGAGUUACUAUUGAGAGAUAUGAGUUUAGUGUCAUCAUGAUAUCUAUUCAGUCUUUGUUUUUGUGGACUGUUCCACUGAACUUCUUCUUAAAGGGGAAUUUUAAGAGUCCCCCUUAAAAUUUCUUGCAGAGCUGGUUUGGAGGUCACAUAUUCUUUUAGUUGCUGCCUGUCUUGGAAGCUCUUUAUCUCUCCUUCCAUUUUGAAUGAGAGCCUUGCUGGAUAAAGUAUUCUUGGUUGCAUGUUCUUCUCAUUUAGGACCCUGAAUAUAUCCUGCCAGCCCUUUCUGGCCUGCCAGGUCUCUGUGGAGAGGUCUGCUGUUACCCUAAUACUCCUCCCCAUAAAAGUCAGGGAUUUCUUGUCUCUUGCUGCUUUAAGGAUCUUCUCUUUAUCUUUGGAAUUUGCAAGCUUCACAAUUAAAUGUCGAGGUGUUGAACGGUUUUUUAUUGAUUUUAGGGGGGGAUCUCUCUAUUUCCUGGAUCUGAAUGCCUGUUUCCCUUCCCAGAUUAGGAAAGUUUUCAGCUAGAAUUUGUUCAAAUACAUAUUCUGGCCCUCUGGCCCUUUCGGCGCCCUCGGGAACCCCAAUUAAACGUAGGUUUUUCUUCCUCAGGCUGUCGUUUAUUUCCCUUAAUCUAUCUUCAUGGUCUUUUAAUUGUUUGUCUCUUUUUUCCUCAGUUUCCCUCUUUGCUAUCAACUUGUCUUCUAGGUCACUCACUCGUUCUUCCACCUCGUUAACCCUCGUCGUUAGGACUUCUAGUUUGGAUUGCAUCUCAUUCAAUUGAUUUUUAAUUUCUGCCUGAUUAGCUCUAAAUUCUGCAGUCAUGAAGUCUCUUGAGUCCUUUAUACUUUUUUUCUAGAGCCACCAGUAGCUGUAUAAUAGUGCUUCUGAAUUGGCUUUCUGACAUUGAAUUGUAAUCCAGAUUUUGUAACUCUGUGGGAGAGAGGACUGUUUCUGAUUCUUUCUUUUGAGGUGAGGUUUUCCUUCUAGUCAUUUUGCUCAGUGCAGAGUGGCCAAAAGCAAGUUGUAUUGGGAAAAAGAGAAAAAGAGAGGAGAGAAAGAAGGAAGAAAAGAGAAAGAGAAAAAAAAAGGGAAGAAAAAGAAAAAAAAAACGAAAAAAAAAAAAGAAGAAAAAGAGAAAGAAAAAGAAAGGAGAAAAAAGGGGGUGGGGGAAGGAAACAAAUCAAAAA